UGGCAGUUAAAGGACAAAACAGCAAUAAGGCUGCCUGCCUUACAUUUUUCCAGUGCCACCAACUGGGCAUUAAGCUGGCUUAACAUUUUGAAAGCCCAGCCCAUUUGGUUCACAGCAGGAUGGCAGG
ensembl:misc_RNA predicted gene, 27582